rnacentral:rRNA from 1 species
CCUACGGGUGGCAGCAGUGGGGAAUAUUGCACAAUGGAGGAAACCCUGAUGCAGCGACGCCGCGUGAGUGAAGACGGAUUUCGGUAUGUAAAGCUCUAUCAGCAGGGGAGAAAAUGACGGUACCUGAUUAAGAAGCCCCGGCUAACUACGUGCCAGCAGCCGCGGUAAUACGUAGGGGGCAAGCGUUAUCCGGAUUUACUGGGUGUAAAGGGGGCGUAGACGGCAGGACAAGUCUGGAGUGAAAUGCCGGGGCUUAACCCCGGAACUGCCUUGGAAACUGUGCAGCUAGAGUGCAGGUGAGGUAAGUGGAAUGCAUGGUGUAGCGGUGAAAUGCGUAGAGAUCAGGCGGAACACCAGUGGCGAAGGCGGCUUACUGGACUGUAACUGACGUUGAGGCUCGAAAGCGUGGGGAGCAAACAGGAUUAGAUACCCUUGUAGUC